rnacentral:rRNA from 1 species
AUUGAACGCUGGCGGAAUGCUUUACACAUGCAAGUCGAACGGCAGCACGGGGGUAACCCCGGUGGCGAGUGGCGAACGGGUGAGUAAUACAUCGGAACGUGCCCAGUCGUGGGGGAUAACGUAGCGAAAGCUACGCUAAUACCGCAUACGAUCUCUGGAUGAAAGCGGGGGACCGCAAGGCCUCGCGCGAUUGGAGCGGCCGAUGGCAGAUUAGGUAGUUGGUGGGGUAAAGGCUCACCAAGCCGACGAUCUGUAGCUGGUCUGAGAGGACGACCAGCCACACUGGGACUGAGACACGGCCCAGACUCCUACGGGAGGCAGCAGUGGGGAAUUUUGGACAAUGGGCGCAAGCCUGAUCCAGCCAUUCCGCGUGCAGGAUGAAGGCCCUCGGGUUGUAAACUGCUUUUGUACGGAACGAAAAGGCUCUGGUUAAUACCUGGGGCUCAUGACGGUACCGUAAGAAUAAGCACCGGCUAACUACGUGCCAGCCGCCGCCGUAAAAC